CAGAAGCACACAGAAGAGCAAUUUCUACCAUCCCCUCUCCUCUCUGCUACCCAGGCAUGUCUGACAGAUCUUCAAUGCUUGCAUAAGAGGAUUUCCCCAGAUGAGACCACUUAGUGUACAGACAGGAAGCUGAAGUAUCGAGCGCCUGACCAGAGCUUCCUCCUGCGCAAGAGUGGGGGUUUCUCUGACUUGAGUCUUCAACUCUGCAUGCAUGGUCUGAGCCUUGAGAUCUAAAGGAUAAACAGCACCCAAACCUGCCAGCUGAGCCCUCCAAGCAAGGUGAAUGGAGUGCUUCAGUGUACCCCUCUUGCAAGACAACAAAGUGGAGUGAUACAGAAUAGAAAGCGAGAAAUGCAAACCUGUGCUGAUUGAAGAGGAGGAAGGAAAAUGGAAGAGAAAAAGCUGAAGAGUGGGAAAAAGAUAAAAUAAAAUGAAUUUUGGGGAUUCCACUGUGAGUAAGAGCCGAAAAAAAAUGUAAGCUGAUUUAUUACAUGUUUGUCUUCUGCCUGUGCCAGUACGCUUUGUAUACGUGAAAGGUAAUUUGCACAUUAAAGAUUGAAUCAAAAUGUCAACUUCUUCCUCAAUUCCUCCAGUUCUGAACCAGGAUAGUUCUGUCAGCUUUGAUGGGUUUACAUUCUGUAAAUGCAACAUAAUGAAUAUCAAGUCUUUGAAAUAAUUUUGAGUUAUAUUUAUGCUAAAGCGAUGAGAAAUUUCGAAUGACUUUUAAAUACUGUUGUGUCAGGGAAUCUGCACGUUUUCUAGUACUUCUCUUCACCAUGCAGGAAUUUUUUCUCUUGUCCUUCUUAUGCUGUUGUGACUUUAUUCCAAAUCUAAUGGAAUUCAGAAAUAAGGGGUGGUGGUAUUAUUAUGUGCAUUAGUAUUUUCCUUGAAUUAUGAUUUAUAUAUAUUCAUUUUUUUCUUUUACAUCUGUGUCUUAACCCACUUAAAUAACAACAAUUUAAACAGGGAGA